UACGUAGGGACCAAGCGUUGUUCGGAUUUACUGGGCGUAAAGGGCGCGUAGGCGGCAAUUCAAGUCAUCUGUGAAAUCUCCGGGCUUAACUCGGAACGGUCAGAUGAUACUGCUUUGCUAGAGUGCGGAAGGGGCAAUCGGAAUUCUUGGUGUAGCGGUGAAAUGCGUAGAUAUCAAGGGGAACACCUGAGGUGAAGACGGGUUGCUGGGCCGACACUGACGCUGAGGCGCGAAAGCCAGGGGAGCAAACGGG
rnacentral:rRNA from 1 species